rnacentral:lncRNA from 1 species
CAUGGGACUCAGAUAACGGUGACUCUGGCAUUUUUUUUUCUUAAGUUGCAACACAACUUUAGCUUUUCCACAAGGCACACGUCCAUUGUUCCAGGGUUAGAUAACAUUUUUCUGGAACUCAAAAGAAAACAAAGUCGUAUUCGGAAUGACAACUUAUAAACAUUUCAGGAAAAUAUGCCAAUGUGCUGAUGCCCACAUACGUGGCCUCCCCUCACGCUCCUCCUGUCUUCACAGCUAACCACUGUCACUGGGGAAAGAUCCAUGUUGGGAGGAAGCUACGAUAGUGUGGAGACGGGAGAAGGCAAUUCUUGGCCCGGGGAGAGAAUGGAAACCAUCUGAGAUCCCUCAGCUACGGACCCUCUAGGUCAGGAGGCGUCCAACAGUAAGGAGAGUUUCCGCGAGCUGAGCACCGCUCUGGACGGAGCUAAACCACAGUGGUGGGGUUCGGGGGGCCCCGGCUUGGCCACAGUAGGAAUAAAGGACACAGGUGAGAACAGCUGUUUCAAGGAAGCCCCCGUGAAGAAAGUCAGGUUUGGGUGACAGCGGGGGGAGGAGGAGGCGCUCCCUGGCAGAAGGCCGCAGGCAGGCCCACUAAUCCGCCUGAGGGCAAGACUGAGCGGCUGACACAGAGCAGGGUCGGCUGCUGCGCCAAGGCCAGGACGCAAGGGGCUGAGGUCGGCCCGAGGGUAGGAUGCUCUUCCACCGGCAGGUUGGAAACUGCAGAAACUUCUGUGCCACAUGCCCCUGAUCGGACAAUAUAUUCCAGACAAAGCAGAGACACCAGAAGCAUUUCAACAGAAAAAUAGGAUACCCUCCUCCAGCUCCUAAUUAUGGCAAUGAAAGGAUUCAAAAUAUGCGUGUCCUAUUCGUGUAUUCACUUAGCAAUUUCUAUUAUUUAGUUAGUUUGGACUCGAAUAUUCAACCGUUACUUUUUGAAACCUUUGGACAAGUAAAGAACCAAUUAGAAGAGUGGACCUUUUUUUAACUCAUUUUAGAGGAAGCCAGUCUGUUGGAGCUGGGUCACCUUGAAACACGUGAAGAAGUGAUGUCAUAUCCAGCACUCACUUCACUCGAUUUCAUGAAAGACUUGGUGCAAAGUCUCCAGCUUAGGAAGGUGCUAUGGGCCGUGCACUCCACCAGAGGGCUCUGCAGAAGCAGUGGCUACUGCAGCUGAAGAUUCAGAUGUGAAGAUCAGCUCUUUGACAAAAAAGCACAGAGGUCUUCCCCGGAAUUGGCAUCACUUUAUUUUUAGGUUUUGUUUGAUUGGCUUCCUGAUUAGUAGUAAUUAAGAAGGGUUAUGGAGGCCUAUGUGUGAGUUUUAUCUGAUCAUAUAGCCACCUUUGACUCACCGUAUCUGGACUCUGUGAUGAAUUCAUCUUAACCCCAAAGAAUCCAGAAAACAAAGCAUCACAUUUGAUUUCUGGUCCAAAGAAGGCUACUUAUGUCUACACUACAAGGUGUUGAGAUGACUGACACUAUUUCUUCUUUAUCAUCCUCUCUUCUACACAGUUUCCUCAUUAAACUUCCCCAUUGAAAUGGAUAAUGAGAAUGCAUGAAGGUAAGAUUUACAGUAUAUUUGAGAUUCUUUCUCCAAAAUAUGAGAGUGUAAAAUUUACUGAACAAGUUAAAGGAAUAUGAUGAAAGUGAUGGUGAUUCGGGAUCUCCAGUGAUGGUGAUGCAGGAUCUCCAAAAUGGGUAGUCACGUGCAUGGUGUGUCUGGUGUGCGUGGUGGACAGAAGACAGGCUCACCAGUAGUAUUUAUGGUAAAGGUAUUGCAGAGAGCAACAACUAUAGCAAACACUGAAUAGCUCGGUUUUAACACUCCAAAUUUAAAAGUUUACAUCUUCAAAAAGGGAUCAAAAUAAAAAUGUAUAGACCAAAUGCCCUAAUAUCCUUCUUGAGCAACAACAUACCUGAUGUUCCCAUGGAAUGUCUCCAGCUCUCAUUAGUAAAAGUGACACCCCAUCAUGCUAUUUCAAGAGAGACAUGGUACACUCUUUGAACAAGUACAGAAAACUCUUGUAGGGAUGAGCCUUUCCAUUGGAGGAGAACAUGCCUAACUAAGAAAUAUGGAUUUCUUUUCUAUCUUUACUGUAAAAAACUUGAAUUAUGUAUUUUUAAUAAACUUCAGAGUGGAAUUUUGAAUGACUCACAAUAUUUAACAAUGUCUUCGUUUCACAAUCUUCUUAGAAUUAUAUUUGAUGGGUUGAUGGAGACCUGUCAUUGAUGGAAGGACAAGCCAAACCUAACCAAUACCACACUAUAUUAUGACAAGCCUGAUGAAGUCCAGGAUACUGCAUUGUUGGGAAUAUAAAGGUGUCUACGAGUGCGGAUGAUCUAUAGACCACCUGUCACCAGAAUUUGAGCCUGCCAAAAGAUGAGUUCAUCCAAAACACUAUGUAAUUAGCAAAUAAAAUAUAAAUCCCAGGAGAGCAAAGAUCUUGGUCUCCUUUGUUCACUGCUGUCUUCCCAGCAUCUAGAAUAGUACUUGGCUCAUUAUAGGUCCACAAUCAAUAUUUGUUAAAUGAAUGAAAACAUAAUUCACAUUCAUGAUAAUAUAUCAUGAAUUAAGGGUUUUUUUUAUUCUGCUUUGUCCCUUUUUCAGAUUCAUUUUAUGUCAGACCUCAACACUCUACCUCGUAGCUUCAUUCUUUAGUUUUCCUUUUCAAAUAGUUUAGCAUAGCCCAGAAUGCAGACAGAGGAGUUACUCACAUGUAACUCCAGUAGCACGGUGAAUUAGUAAGAUAUAUUCCAUUAUAUUUAAAUAAAUUAAUGUAUUUGCCUUUAUGAUGGAAACUUAAACAGCAACCCUAUACCUGCAUCCCUUUAAAAGAUAGAUAACUAGGUUGACUAGACAAUGUUAAGGGCUAUUUAAUUGAACUAUUGACCCUAGAGAGAGAUAUCUGGAAAUUAUUCUUUUUUUUUUUUUUUUAUUUUUGGAAAUUAUUCUUGAGGCAACCAAUAACCAAACAGCAAAACCCUUUUUCUGUAUAUCAGUUGAAUUUAUUUAUUUAACAAUCUUUGUUAACUUAUUUAUUUUCAUUUGUAAUAAGUUAACUUUCUACAGAGGAAUUUAAAGAAGACAAAACUACAAUUUAACAAAACAGUGCAGAUACUUCGAUCUAUAAAAUUGUAGAAUAAUAGAGAAAUAAUUCUCUUUAUUUUUAAAAUUUAAAAUACUCAAAAUGCAAUCAAUAUUUUAUUUUGCAGUUUACCCCCAAAAGUAAGGAGAAGGACAUUUUUAUACCUUUAAAC